rnacentral:rRNA from 1 species
UUAGACUCGUUAGCUCAGUUGGUAGAGCAAUUGACUUUUAAUCAAUGGGUCACUGGUUCGAGCCCAGUACGGGUCAUAUAUGCGGGUUUGGCGGAAUUGGCAGACGCACCAGAUUUAGGAUCUGGCGCUUAACGGCGUGGGGGUUCAAGUCCCUUAACCCGCAUUAAGAUAUAACAAAUGAGCCGGCUUAGCUCAGUUGGUAGAGCAUCUGAUUUGUAAUCAGAGGGUCGCGUGUUCAAGUCAUGUAGCCGGCAUUUUUAGAUAGAAGAAAACAGUGCGAACGUAGUUCAGUGGUAGAACACCACCUUGCCAAGGUGGGGGUCGCGGGUUCGAAUCCCGUCGUUCGCUUGGAGAGGCCGGGGUGGCGGAACUGGCAGACGCACAGGACUUAAAAUCCUGCGAUUGGUAACGAUCGUACCGGUUCGAUUCCGGUCCUCGGCAUAAUAUGGAGCACCCUUAGCUCAACUGGAUAGAGUACCUGACUACGAAUCAGGCGGUUAGAGGUUCGACUCCUCUAGGGUGCAUUUUUCUAUUUAACUCGGGAAGUAGCUCAGCUUGGUAGAGUACUUGGUUUGGGACCAAGGUGUCGCAGGUUCGAAUCCUGUCUUCCCGAUUCAUUACAGAGAUAUGUGAGUGUGUAUUUUUAAAACUAGAUAUUAUAUACAUUAAGAGGGAAUCAGUUUGGUUCUCUCUUUUUUGAUUUUCAGUAAUUCAUUUUGGCAACGUAUACUUUUUGUCUCCAGUUUUUUCAAUAAAUACCGUAGUUUAGGUAUACACAUUGAAAUUUAACAGAUUUUAUAACUCUUAUAAAUUUUUAAGAAAGAAAUAGAAGGGUUUUGUUCAACGUAUAAUUUAGAGAAUUGAAAUAAGAUAUGAACAGCUNUCCUGUCCACCGUAAGACUAAGGUUUCCAGGGGAAGGCUCGUCCGCCCUGGGUUAGUCGGGACCUAAGGAGAGACCGAAAGGUGUAUCCGAUGGACAACAGGUUGAUAUUCCUGUACUAGAGUAUGUAGUGAUGGAGGGACGCAGUAGGCUAACUAAAGCAGACGAUUGGAAGAGUCUGUCUAAGCAGUGAGGUGUGAAUUGAGUCAAAUGCUUAAUUCUAUAACAUUGAGCUGUGAUGGGGAGCGAAGUUUAGUAGCGAAGUUAGUGACGUCACACUGCCAAGAAAAGCUUCUAGCGUUUAAACAUACUCUACCCGUACCGCAAACCGACACAGGUAGUCGAGGCGAGUAGCCUCAGGUGAGCGAGAGAACUCUCGUUAAGGAACUCGGCAAAAUGACCCCGUAACUUCGGGAGAAGGGGUGCUGACUUAAAGUCAGCCGCAGUGAAUAGGCCCAAGCAACUGUUUAUCAAAAACACAGCUCUCUGCUAAAUCGUAAGAUGAUGUAUAGGGGGUGACGCCUGCCCGGUGCUGGAAGGUUAAGAGGAGUGCUUAGCGUAAGCGAAGGUAUGAAUUGAAGCCCCAGUAAACGGCGGCCGUAACUAUAACGGUCCUAAGGUAGCGAAAUUCCUUGUCGGGUAAGUUCCGACCCGCACGAAAGGCGUAAUGAUUUGGGCACUGUCUCAACGAGAGACUCGGUGAAAUUUUAGUACCUGUGAAGAUGCAGGUUACCCGCGACAGGACGGAAAGACCCCAUGGAGCUUUACUGCAGUUUGAUAUUGAGUGUCUGUACCACAUGUACAGGAUAGGUAGGAGUCUAAGAGAUCGGGACGCCAGUUUCGAAGGAGACGCUGUUGGGAUACUACCCUUGUGUUAUGGCCACUCUAACCCAGAUAGGUGAUCCCUAUCGGAGACAGUGUCUGACGGGCAGUUUGACUGGGGCGGUCGCCUCCUAAAAGGUAACGGAGGCGCCCAAAGGUUCCCUCAGAAUGGUUGGAAAUCAUUCGCAGAGUGUAAAGGUAUAAGGGAGCUUGACUGCGAGAGCUACAACUCGAGCAGGGACGAAAGUCGGGCUUAGUGAUCCGGUGGUUCCGUAUGGAAGGGCCAUCGCUCAACGGAUAAAAGCUACCCCGGGGAUAACAGGCUUAUCUCCCCCAAGAGUCCACAUCGACGGGGAGGUUUGGCACCUCGAUGUCGGCUCAUCGCAUCCUGGGGCUGUAGUCGGUCCCAAGGGUUGGGCUGUUCGCCCAUUAAAGCGGUACGCGAGCUGGGUUCAGAACGUCGUGAGACAGUUCGGUCCCUAUCCGUCGUGGGCGUAGGAAAUUUGAGAGGAGCUGUCCUUAGUACGAGAGGACCGGGAUGGACGCACCGCUGGUGUACCAGUUGUUCUGCCAAGGGCAUAGCUGGGUAGCUAUGUGCGGAAGGGAUAAGUGCUGAAAGCAUCUAAGCAUGAAGCCCCCCUCAAGAUGAGAUUUCCCAUAGCGUAAGCUAGUAAGAUCCCUGAAAGAUGAUCAGGUUGAUAGGUUCGAGGUGGAAGCAUGGUGACAUGUGGAGCUGACGAAUACUAAUAGAUCGAGGACUUAACC